rnacentral:rRNA from 1 species
UAAGGAAUAUUGGUCAAUGGACGCAAGUCUGAACCAGCCAUGCCGCGUGGAGGAUUAAGGCCCUCUGGGUUGUAAACUCCUUUUAUCUGGGAAGAAAUGUACUUUUUCUUGAGUACUUGACGGUACCAGAGGAAUAAGCACCGGCUAACUCCGUGCCAGCAGCCGCGGUAAUACGGAGGGUGCGAGCGUUAUCCGGAUUUACUGGGUUUAAAGGGUGCGUAGGUGGGCUUAUAAGUCAGUGGUGAAAUCUCCGGGCUUAACUUGGAAACUGCCGUUGAUACUAUAGGUCUUGAAUUAUCUGGAGGUAAGCGGAAUAUGUCAUGUAGCGGUGAAAUGCUUAGAUAUGACAUAGAACACCAAUUGCGAAGGCAGCUUACUACAUAUAAAUUGACGCUGAGGUACGAAAGCGUGGGG